AAUAACCAACACGAGUUGGUAAACAGUGUGAUUUCCCUGCGUUUAGGUGUGGGGCCAGCCACCUAUGGGAAAUGUGUCGCCGGUGACGGCGGGUUCAGGGCGCUGCUUCUUUGGAGGGACAACGUGCCACUUUAAGGAGAACCCGCUUAUGAAAUGCACUUUGGAUUACAGGUGUGUGCCACCACAGCCAGCCCAGCUGACAUCAUGAUGGUAACACCCUGAGAGACGCCGAGUCAGCACCAUCCGGCCAAAUCACUCUGAUUCCUGACCAUCACAAAUAGGCAAGACAGUCCCCACCACCACUAAGUCUAUUUGCUGGCUCUAGAAGAGGUUAGCAGACCUAGGAAGCAGCCCAUGUGGUGAAGAACUGAGGCUGCUGGCCAAAUCCAAUAAUGAACCAGAGCUUCUCUUCAGCAGCCGCCUGGUCGUCCAUCUGAGACACAGAUCAUCUAGCACCAGUGAAGUUCCAGUGGACUGCAGCUCAUCUUGAUGGGAAGUUCCUGAGAGACCCAGAGCCAGAGCUGCUCAGCUAAGCCACCCUCAGCCUCUUGACCUCCAGAGACCACAUGAACUACGCGAAAUGCUUUUGUUUUGAGUCACUAAGUGAAUUAACCGCGUGUUCCUGAUGCUUUGACAGCUGGGGCCUUGCUGGCCCUGAAGAGGCUGUGCCUCCCAGGGCUGGCCAGUAGAGAAAGUGCAUUCCUUUUAUCUGCCACCAUCCUGAGCCCAAGCCCAUCCCCCUCCUUUAUCAGCUCUCACUGGGCUCCCACACUGUGGGGCCCUCCACCUGCCCUAAUCACUCCAGGGCCAGGUGCCAGACAACCAGAGGCAGCCUCCAUGCCCAGAGUUGUCUGGAAUUACUCAAACAAGCCUCCUAAACCUGCCUACCCCGCCUAGCCCACUCCUUCUUUCAGAAACCAAUGUAGGCUCUUUCUUGCUCACAUUUCUCCUCUACCUGGACCUCCCGGCAGACUCUGGCGCUUCCCUGCGUGGCUGCCCAUUCUGCCACAUGCCUUCUGGUGUCUAUGAAUAUAACAAACUCUCUUUACUGGCAGUCAUCUCCUGACCCUUUGGCCUGGACAUGCCUGAAUAACAAAUCUACGGAACACACUACGAUUUGGGGUAAUAGUCAAGCACAUUACUCGAAAACUAGCAUGCUUAAACACUGGUACUUUUUCCUUCAUUAUCACAAUGUCAUGGUCACACCUGAUAACAUUAGCCAUCAUUCCUUCAAAUCAUCAAAUGCUUCCAUUUCAUAAAGGUCCUGCCUCUCCCUAAAAAUGUCUAUAUAUGAGUUUGUUGGAGAACAGAAUCCAAAUAAGGUCUGCACGUUGCAUUGGAUGUUAUUAUUUCAAGUUUCUUUUCAAAGUAGAAUUUUUCAAAAAAGGCAAAAUCUGAGUCUACAGUAGACAUACAGCAACUAGGUACAAAAUAUUUAACCUAUUCAUGAGGGAAACUGGUUGGAUGGUAAACUGGUUAAAAGAAACUGAAAUAUAUGGUGUUGGGAAGUGAUUGCUAAGUUAGAUUUUUUAAAAAAACUGCUUAAUAACCUCCAAUAAUAAAUUGUUACCUAUUUAGUUGUCUUGGUAAUAAAUUGUUACCUAUUUAGAAAUCGAGUGCAUCUGUACCUGAUAUCAUAUUUUUUACUAAUGGAAUCAAACAAGAACAAUUCGGAGAUUCAUCUAAUGAACCUGGACAAGGUUCAUCUUGGCUGCCAUCAGGCAGAAGUCACCAUCGUCACUAUCGGUUUGUCUACGUUGUCAUCUGCCCUCACAGAGUUGUGAAAUAUCAGGAUUUAUCUUUUUUUUUUUUUUGUACUGGGGUUAAACCCAGUCCUUUUUACUUUUUGUUUUGAGACAGGGUCUUGCAAAGUUGCCCAGGCAGGUCUGAAACUUGUGAUCUUCCUGACUCAACCUCCCGAACCUCUGGGAUUACAGAUGUGUACCACCUCACCUGGCUCGGGAUUCAUUUUAAGUAUUCUGAGAUGAAUGUGCACACCGUAGGUGUGUUGGCAACAAUGCGAUGUGGCAGGACAGGAGUCCACAUCACCUUUCUCCAAUUCCAAGUUCGUUCUGCUUGUUUACCUUACCCUUCUUCUAGUCUAGAAUAGUCCGCCAUGCAGUUGUUAUUCUUUUUUAUUUGUAUUUUAUUUUAUUUAUUUUUUAAGUAGAUUUUUUUUUAUUUUUAAUCGUUGAUAGACGUUUAUUUCAUGUAUUUAUAGGCAGUGCUGAAAAUCAAACCCAGUGCCUCACACAUGCCAGGCAAGUGCGCUACCACUGAGCCACAAUCCCAACCCCUGGAGUUGUUAUUCUUUAGAAUAGAAUGUACCACAUUCUGGAUUUAUCUGUUCACUUCCCUCAUGUAUUUGAAUCAAAUGUGGUUUUUAAGUCAAUAGUUGCUAAAAAAAUAAAAAUAAAAAAUGCCACAGGUUAUUAGUGAUGAGGUUUUCCGGUCAGAUUCAUUAAAUCAUUAGAGGGUGUUAGAAUAAUGUUUUAUUAACUUAUUCAUUUUAAUCAUUCACCUCAAAUUAUAAUAUUUAAGAUUCCCAUUGGGGUCUCUAAGGCAGAAGCUUUGGGCUUGGUUCCUAGCAUGCAGUCUCCCCCACUCCUCCCAGGAGCUCAGGAGUCUGGUUCUUUGGGAAUACUGGGUGGGAGGGGGGAUGGGAACUCUCUGUCCCCACCUACACACCCUCCCCCUUCUUCCUUCGCAGUCUUUCUCUGAAGGUUUUGGAACUUGUGCCUUUUCUAGGACACUAGCUUUUCUCUUUGACAUGAAUCUGUUCUGCUUCUCCAUGUCCCAAUGUCUGCAGGGUGGCUCUUUGCCUGGUUGGGCGGGGGCAGCCCCACGUGGGUGGGCACCAGGUACUUCUUCCUGUGCCCCCUGCAGGGAGAGCUUGCCUGGAGGUCCAGCUGGUACCACUGACAGCAACUUAAAAGUUCUUCUCGGGACUGGGGAUGUGGCUCAAGUGGUAGCGCGCUCGCCUGGCAUGCGUGCAGCCCGGGUUCAAUCCUCAGCACCACAUACAAAUAA